GGCACCAGAAAAUGUGUUCCAUAUCAUCACUCAUGGUUCACCUACAGGAGAUCUGUCUAUUGUUCUUCAGCCCAACUAACCCGUCUCCUUCCUGCCAGCUCCCAGUCUCAUGAUGGCCAAGAGAAAAAAAU